ensembl:lncRNA
GAAAUCUCUAACUAUGAAGUCUUGUAGAAGGUUCUGGAUGGGUGGUUACAGUGUCAAUGAUGGCUUUGUGCUGAGUGUUUUCCUAAAACUAAAGAUGGAGAGCAAAGAGCCCAGGGCCUACCUCACACUCUGCUACAGUCUCUAACCCCUGAGGAGUAUUUGUCUCCAAAGGGUUGUUGCCUGUUGUGAGUCACCCUGCUAGGACACCCCUUGGGGUAGGGGUGAGAAGACAGCACCAAGGACCCAGGAGCUGGGAGUCGACCCCACAGGUUCUCUGAAGAAGGUCAAAGUUUGGCUUCGCAUAACAGCAAUAGGCAGCCACUGAACUACCCUACAUGCUGACGCCAGUGUGAGCUACCCUACAUGCUGACGCCACUGUGAACUACUCUGAGGGGAGCCAUGUGGACAUUAACAGACUGUAGGAGGCUGAGCUUUAAGCAUUAAGCUGUAUACCAUAAUGUGUUUGGGACAAAGGUACCUUGAUGAACAGAAAUGUUUAUCUGGUCUACUGGGAGUAUGUCUCAGCAGGGCUGAGUGCUGCAAGGGUUAUGGAAACAGGUAACUUAUAAAACCACAGAAAUCCUCUUCCUUACCAAGUACAUUUCCCAAAGGACUUCCCACCUACAUUUCCCUCUGAGGCAAGAGUGUGCCAAUUAGCAAAUAGAAACAUACACAAGAAGGGCUGGGGACGUGGUUCAGCAGCAGACAACUGGCCUUGUCAUGCUUGGGUUCAACCAUACACCAAUGCAUGCACAAGUAUACACACACACACACACACACACACACACACACACACACACACACGACAGUAUUUAAAUAUAAAAACAUCAUAAAAUAUUUCAUUUAAACAGUACUAAUUGAGUCUACCUCAAAUAUCACCAAUUUUGCCCUGGAAAAAGCUUUAGUGUCUGUCAGUGAAGUCUUUGGUUUUAUUUUUAGGAUUUUUUUGAAGUUAAUGCGUAUGUGUGUAAACCUGAGUGAGUUUAUGUGCGCCAUGUGUGUGCAGUGCCCAUGGGAGCCAGAAGAGGGCGUCCUGUAAAUGAAAUUAAAGGCAGUUGUGAGCUACCCAGUAGGUGCUGGGACCUGAACCUAGGUCUUCUGGAAGAGCAGCCUUCUGUGGAAUAAUUAACUAGGGAAACGUGUUACAUUUGUUUAUGCUGUGGAAUAUUACCCGAACUGUGUAAAGGUGUGUUUCAUUUGUUUAUGCUGCAUUUUUUAAUUAUGUAAAGAUGCACACACAUACAGUUGCAUGCAAACAAACUUGUGGCGUGAUCAUGAGUGCCACCGUCAAAGGUGCUCCUGAGUCCUCCUCAGUGACAAGGUUGUCAUCACUCAGAAGGAAGUGAGUUGCAGCUUAGAAUUCUAUGUCUAGUUUUGCUAUCAAUUAGGAAGAGGGCUAUUUUCAGAUAUGCAAGCAUUGUGUAAACUCCUCCUGGGGAGGCAAACAGACAGGAUGCCAACAACAGACCAAAGACAGGACUCUGCUCAGCUAGCCCGGUGAACCCAUGGUUUAGUUAGGGCAACUUGCAGAAGCAUGGAGAAGCUAGUGAGCAGCUCCCACGCUGAGGAACCGCCCUCUACUCCACACCCACCAACCAUCAACCGCCUGCAGAUUUCAGGGGUCCAUUGUCUCUGAGUGCUCAUCCAGCUGGACCCUCUGCCUUAACUGUAUGUUUUCUUCUCCAAAUUUUCUGUUUCUGUUCUAAAUAUAAAUGUUUCAUAAAUGUCUU